GGGAAGGUGGCUCAGUGGCAGAGCACUUGCCUUGCAUGCAUGAGGCCCUGGGUUUGAUUCCUCAGCGCCA
rnacentral:tRNA from 1 species